AAUUACAUUUGUAUUUCAAAGUUCCACCCAAACUGUUCGAAAGGAAAAUGGUUCAGUGAGUGUUUGUUAUCGUGCAUUUAGCAAUUUGGGGGGCGUUGUUGCCAUUAACGUAACAUUUGCAUCCAGAAAUGGCACUGCAACAAGUGGAGAAGAUUACUCAUACGAAAAAGAAACACGCGAGCUCAAUAUAGUCGAUCCCAGAGGCACAUUUGGCUGUCAAGAGAUUUCUAUCAUUCAGGAUAGCAUUUACGAAGGAAACGAAAGUUUCACAUUUUUUGUGGAGUUUAAUGACCCUUUCAAUGCCAAAAUAACUGUUGUGGAAACCACAGUGACUAUAAUAGAUGAUGACGUUGCUGAAGUAAAUGGUACCGAAAAGUUAACAGAAGUUGACAAAAGUGUAGUUGGGCACGUAAAACAAGUCCUAAUAGUUGUCUUGGCAUGGCUUGGGCUAUGUUUUGCGGUUGUGUUUGUAAUUGUAAUAAUUGCUGGUUUUAGGCUGAUAGAAAAUAAAAGGCGAUAUGAUUUCAAACCAAGUGUGAUCACUGAUCCAGGACACCAUCCCACGUUUAAUCAUCUCUAUUAGGGCAAUGACAACUAUCCCUGAUGAUGUAAAAGAAAUUGGAAGACCUUUUAAAAGAAAAAAACUUUUCUGCACCGUACAUUUUUAGUUCUUAGCCCGGGAAUUUCAGGGCCAAAACAUAUUCAAUAAUUUGGGAGUUACAUAGUUCGCAUAUUCAAAGUAGUCCUGUCGGAUUUCUUUUGCACGACGUAUAUUAAAGAACUAGUUUCGGCUCUGCUUGGAAUAAACACUGGAAGUCACAUUUUGACUAUAAUUAUCAUCAAUGGAACCAACAAUGGUUAAUAUAUACAGUAUAUAAUAA